rnacentral:lncRNA from 1 species
CUGGCUCCAUAUCAGAAUCACCGCGUGAGCCACUGUGCCCGGGCUCAAUGGACUAAUUUAACCUCCCUCAACUUGCCAUCGACCCCCACACUGUUCUGAGAUUUAGAUAGAGUCAUCCUCGUGUAUAGAUGCAUCACAGUCCAUGAGAAAGAUUGUUUAUCUUGCUUUCAUGGGAAGUUAAUUGCAGAUGCACUGCCAGGAUCUUUGUCUUCUUGGGGCACAGUCAUGCCACUUCCCAGUCAGAAACUUUCAACGCCUCCCCUCUGUUUUCAGAGUACAGCCCAAGCCCUUGGGCUUGGCAUUUAAGGCCUUCCGUGAUCUAUUUUCAAACUUUUUCUGUUUCAGAGCCCAAGUUUGUCCCUUGUCCUGGGUCCUCCGUUCCUUGCAUACGUUCUGCACUUUGCUCUUUUUGCAUAUGUUCCUGUUCAAUUCUGGCGUGGCUUUUCACCCAUUGCCCACCUGCUGAAAUUUCCUUAGGAUUCUGUCCACCUCACAUGGACGUGAGGGCUGUAUAAUUGUCAGAACCCUGAGCUUAUGAGGGCCCCCCACUUGGUUUAAUGUUCUGCUUUCACUGUUUUGAAAUUCUUAAUAAUUGAUGGACAAGGGUUCCCACAUUUUUUUCCCCUGUUUUGGCUUCUCAACAAAGUCCCUACUUAUUUUUUAUUUUUAUUUUUUGCUGUAGUUCCUACAGAUUAGGUAGGAGCUCCUGACUGCCACAGUAGAUCUAGGGUAGAGCCUGAGAUUUUGCAUUUCUGACAAGAUCCCAGGCGAUGCUGAUGCCUCUGGUCCUUGGAUCACACUUUGAGUAGCAAGGGUCAGUCUGAAGUAUGGUAGAGCCAACAACUUGGAAGGAACCUGAAAGACAGUACGGAGCUGAAGUCCCUGGCAGCUGAAAUACUCAUCACAAACUGUUAGGUACAACCUGGCAGCACCUUGCUUUGGGUCUGCUCCGUGGACCUUCUACUUCCUACUCCAGGUAAACCCACUGGACACUCUUGUGUGCAUAGCCAACAAAUGCAGAAAAGUUAACAAUGGUGGGGCCACCUUUGACCAAAGGGAGAUGGAAGCCAGUUGCUAGGUGCCUUUCAGUUUGGACUGCUGAUGGAGAGCACUGAGACACUUUUUAUGAUGUUCCUCUGAAGGUCCCAGUGGCAUCAGUUAUGUGGCUCUUAUGCAUGGCCAGCUGUAUAAUGUGUCCCUGUAUUGGCCUUGCUCUUCCCUGUUUUACUCCACUGUCUCACUCCUGCUCCCCGUGUUCAUUCCCCAAAUAAAAUACCUACACACAAGACUUUGUUUCCGCUUUCUUUUCAGGAGAACCCAUGCUAAGAAUUGUGGAAAGGUGGCGGAGGUGGGAAGCGGGUGCAGUGGGGAGAGUCUGCUAUUCUUUGAGGCUUUAUCACCUAGACUUAGUCUGUUAUCUGAGUGUGUAUUAGGUAAGAAACAGUAGUUAACCAGUCAUCAUUGCAGGCUGGGUCUUCUCUCCCCACACGACUUGCUUCCUUUUCCUCCCACUCUGAUGUCCUCCACAUCUGUUCAGCGGAGCUCCCUGACCCUACCUGCAGAUGCAGCACAACUUAUGGCUUGGUAUAGGAACUACUGAAGGAUCCUCAACCUCUAAUCUCUAGGCAAGCCUCCAACUACACUCUGGGGUACUAGGGAGAGUGGCACAUCCACACUUAACUCAAUAGCGAGAGACCCAAAGGCGUUGCUUCUGAUCAAGGAACUAAUUUUACAAAAAAUGAAGUAUAACGGGGUCCCAUGCUUAUGGAAUUCACUGCUCUUACCAUGUUCCCUAUCUUCCUGAAGAAGAGAGGAGGUCUCCACUGCUGAAUCUCUUGGCCUUGUUCAGUGUAUCACAGGUUCUGGAGUCAGACAAACCAGCCUGCAGUCUUGGCUCUGCACCUGUUACAUGUGUGACCUUGGAGAAGGCCUGAACACAUACCUCUAAACCUGUUUAUCCAACCGAGAACAUCAAAGGCUUCUCUGCAGUGUCAAUCCGAUAAAGCAUGUAAAGUAUAGGACACAGUCUUGCAAUUGCAGUGUAAAAGAUGGCAGCGAUUCUAGUUACUAUUCACUGGCCUUCCAUAUUCCAG